GGACGAACGCUGGCGGCGUGCCUAAUACAUGCAAGUCGAGCGGACGAUUCGAAAGCUUGCUUUUGAAUCGUUAGCGGCGGACGGGUGAGUAACACGUGGGCAACCUGCCCUGUAGACGGGGAUAACACCGAGAAAUCGGUGCUAAUACCGGAUAACACGAAAUGUCGCAUGACGUUUCGUUGAAAGGCGGCGCAAGCUGCCGCUACAGGAUGGGCCCGCGGCGCAUUAGCUAGUUGGUGAGGUAACGGCUCACCAAGGCGACGAUGCGUAGCCGACCUGAGAGGGUGAUCGGCCACACUGGGACUGAGACACGGCCCAGACUCCUACGGGAGGCAGCAGUAGGGAAUCUUCCGCAAUGGACGAAAGUCUGACGGAGCAACGCCGCGUGAGCGAAGAAGGCCUUCGGGUCGUAAAGCUCUGUUGUUAGGGAAGAACAAGUAACGUAGUAACUGACGUUACUAUGACGGUACCUAACGUGAAAGCCACGGCUAACUACGUG
rnacentral:rRNA from 1 species